CCAAUCUGUUUCGCGUGCUACACACCCAAUCUCGCUCGCACACCAGGCAGGCAACGCACAACCCUAGCUCCCACUUUCCCCUUGAUCCACUGCCCCUCCCUCCUCCCCGCUCGUCACCAGGGCCUCGCUGCCGCCUACUCCUCCGCCACCAUUGCUGCUUCCCCACCUCGACUCCCCUCUCUCCGUUGUUUAUCCGGUCGUCGGCGGCGCCUGGUUCCGGAUCUGGCGCAAGUUAGGCCCGGUGGUGGGGCGACGGGGCACUGGAGGCAGGCGACCCGGACAAGCAGCUGUCGGCCCGUCGCGGGUGAGGCUCCAAGAGGGAAGAGUCGGGGACAUGAGGCUCGAUGGAAGAGGGAAGAGGGAUGAGGCGGGGACAGGUGAAGGAGCAGGCUGGUCCUCGUGGAGGCGGCGCCGCCGGCCAGGGGCCAUUCGCGAUUUUUCUCUGCUGUCUUCUUACUCCGGGGCGUGCCGUGGAAGAACUCACCCACACCAGCCAAGGAGGAGACAUGAUGUGUGUGAGGUAGAGGUGGAUCAUUGGAGGUGAAGCAGGUCUCCUUGAUGUGUGCUUCAUCUGAGUUUCACGGGGUACAUAAGCAAUGGUUGCACCCCGCCACAUCACAUACCAGAUGCUUAGAUUAUAAGAAAGAGGAAUUUUGUAAGUCAGGCAUCGAUUGCUCACCUUUGAAGGUUACAGAUUCAAGUGCUAGGCUUUUAAGGAUGAAGCAAAUCCCAAUCUAGAAACAUGUGUAGUGCACCAUAUAUUUGUCACCAGAAACGAAUGUGCAGGCGACAACCAUUUGAUUAGUGUUAUAUCCAACUAAGUUUUAGGUCAGAAGGGGAGCCUUGGCGCAGUGGUAAAGCUGCUGCCUUGUGACCAUGAGGUCAUGGGUUCAAGUCCUGGAAACAGCCUCUUACAGAAAUGUAGGGAAAGGCUGCGUACUAUAGACCCAAAGUGGUCGGACCCUUCCCUGGACCCUGCGCAAGCGGGAGCUACAUGCACCAGGUUGCCCUUUUUUACAGUUUUAGGUCAAAGUUCUCUUUUACCUUAACUUUUCAAUUGUACUCUGCUUUGUAGGUUCUGAUCAUACCGAUUUAGGGACUUACUACAGUUUGAUUGCCAAUUCAUAUUUUAUUCUUUUAUAUUAUGCAGCUUCCACUGUACUAUUGGGAUAAAUUUCAUGAACUAUGUAUCUUGUUUAAAUGGCUAGGAUUUGAGAUUGUUUGAAUCCAUCAUGACGCAAUGUUCUGACCAUCGACUAAGGUGCUCAAUGCGCAAUAGAUAGCUUUUGGUUGUCACCAUUAGGACACAAAAGUACUAGAUUUUGAGGUUUUUUAGCUCAAAUAUGCCAACUACAGAGCAACAUGGCAGUUACGAUGGUUCCAUGUCCUAAUUAGUUAUUUUUAUUUCGUUUAGCAGGCGUAUUAUCUUGGAGGUUGCUUCUUAUUUUUACUAUAGAUCAAGUUUCUUUGUUUCCUUUCUAGCUACCUCUGCUGCAUUUGUUUUAUAUAUCAUAUAUGCUUUAAAUGUCCUAUAUGCUGUCAUGAUCCUUGCUUCAGUGAUCUGUUGAUUUUCCAGAUUUGGUCAGGUGUUGUGUUUUUUUGGCCCUUGUGUGCUUUGAUCGAUGUGCUCUGGCUCUGUGACUGUGAUGAUGCACAGGCAAUGGCGGCAUGGGUGGAAUGAGAGGAAGGAUGGGAAUCAGCUACUUGCAUUCGCACAGAGGAGGCAACGUCGACGCGAUGGUACAGCAGAGGAGGUUGGGCUCGUUGUGGAGCUUCUUGAGGCAGCAGGACGUCGGCGAGAGCAUCGCUGCCGGCAACGGCUCAACCGCUCGAGUGACCUCUUGAGGAUCUUCUCCAUGAGCACCUGGGACGACACCAACUCCAACAUCAUGUUCUCAGCGCCCGGCAGUAAGAAGGCCGAGGUGCUCGGCGACAACGAUGUCGGCAUGGUCACCAGCUUCAGCAACAUCGGCUCCCAGAUUCAGUUAGCCCUCUCGAGCUGUACAUGCCCAGCAUGGACGACUACCUGCAGCUGCAGCAGGACUCCGCCGACUGCCGAGUCCACGCCAAGCGUGGCUGUACCACUGACCCGCAGAGCAUUGCUUGGGAGGGAAACAAGAACAAGGAUCAAUAAGAGGCUAAGGAGGCUGCAAGACCUCAUUCCCUACAUGGACAAGGUCACAAGGUGACUGUGGGAUGCUCGCUUGACCCCCUGUCCACAAUGAAAACCGGAGGAACCUUCACUUUGUAUAUAUGGUGAUGGAUAUGGGGACAUAUAAGAACACCUCCCUUCCGAAAAUCAACUAGGGCAGAUAAGAAAACCCACCUGAGAAUCUAUUGUAUACCAUAUUUUUUAGCCUCUUAAGUCUUAACAUGUCCAUGUACAUGUUGUAGUCUAUAUUUCGAUAUAGAAUAUGUUGUUACAUGCAACUGUUUGAGUUGGUGGGCCAUUGCUGCUGCCGACUAAAAUUACAAUAUUUGUAACUAAUAUUUUUGGUUGACAUAUUACUAGCAAAUUGGAUGUCAUAUCCCUAAACUAGGAAUUCUUUCAUCAUUGGAGGCUUUCAUCUGCAUAUACAAGAUAGCAGAAGAAGCAGGUGAGUGGCCUCUGUUUUGUUUCUUUAUGACAGUGUCCUCUACAUAAUGGUUGAAACGGUGUAUAGCCUGAAGCAUGUGAUGUUUCUUUCAGUGUAUAUUUGUGAUUUAUGGCGUUUGAUGUGCAUAGGGCAGAACCUGACAUCACAUACAGUAUUAGAGAGGAAUGUUUUAACAGUUAGUGUUUCAAAGAUUUAUACUGUUUCAGCUAGCCAAUGAAUGUUUGUGGAGCUACAGAUUUGGUAUCAAAAGUACAUAAUUUGGGAAAUUGGGUUUUUAGUUAAUGUGUGUCAGGCAUCAAUAGUUUUGAAAUAUUACCAUGUUGCCGAAUAUAUCAUACAAUUAUAGGUGCAUUUAGUUCCCUAGAACAUUUGUUCUUGACUACCCAGUACCCAGUUGAGAUAUCACCAUUAGCGAAACCACAUUGGAGGUAAUUCUAUUAAGUCGGAAAAGCUAUAUGUUCCAGAAUUAUUGUUUAAUGAAGUACUCAUUUUGCUUUAUUCGUAUAAUAUGUCUUCCUGUUUUGUCAUCGACUUAAUAUUAUCCAUUGAAAGUUCUCCUUUUGUAAUGCGAGUGACCGACAGGACAAAUACCAUUAUGCAUCAAGUAUAGUCGAAGUAGAACUUUGUCCUGGUAUUAGUGGAUUACAUGCUAAUGUGCAGAUAACAUGGUUCUGAAGUCGAAAAUCAUUGCCACAAUGUUACAGAUUAGAGUUUCCAAAAUAAUAUUAUACUCCCUCCGUCCGGAAAUACUUGUCGGAAAAAUGGAUGAAAAUGGAUAUAUCUACAACUAAAUUGCGUCUAAAUACAUCCAUUCCUCCGACAAGUAUUUUCGGACGGAGGGAGUAGUAAUCACAUCCAUUUCAUUGGAUGUGACGUGAUGUAUCCUAUAUGCGGAGCCAUGAAAGAAAUGUAACUAUGGAAGUUGUAGAUAACAGUAUACAGUUGUUCGAGUGCUCUCUGGCUAAACCUGAUGCCUUUUGUACAUCAAGGCUCUGAAUUUUUUAAGGAUCACAACUUACUUUCAAAGUAACAAUAAUAUUUGGAAAAUAUCAGAGGUGACAGAGAACAAUUUAAUAGGAUAGUGGCAAAUAAGGCCCAUUUCCUUAAGGUAUCAGCACAUAAUACUUUUCACUAAUUUGGCCAGUUAGCAAUGCUCUGGUUUGUGCCAGUCGGGAAUUGAGAGCGUCAGUAGUCUCUGCAUAAAUAACCAUCAGACUGGAGGUCAACACUGAGAGAGGGACCGCAUACAGUUUUGUUCAAGCAUACCCCUUCAAGUUAUAAUUGCAAUACACUAUGCUGGAUACAAAUGACCUUUCGAUUUGAACUAUUCAUAUUGUGUAAUUUGAUGACCUGGGCAGGAUCCAGGUUUCGGUUGCUAGCAACUGUAAUGAUCAGAAUCUUUUCUCUUUUUGUAGGUAUGCUGGUCUUGAUGUGGUUUUGGACUGAAUGUUUCUCACUUGGAGAAAUGCUUUUUGCUAGAAUCAAUAUAUUUUUCAGUCCCCAACGAUUUUAUUCCUCAGCGCUCAAUGGACUUCUAUCAAUAUUUUCUUCCAAACAAUGUAUUGAAUUUACUAUGAUUCAUUGGAGUUAUUUGACAGAGAAAUAUUCUCUGUAUACUGGAUACAGUUACUCAUGAUACGCCCUUUUACUCCCUAGCGACAAAUACACUCAUUUUUAGUUUUAUGUACCGCCAUUGACAUAUAUAUUUUCUUCCAAACUGUGAGACAUUAUGUAAAUGUACACUGGAGAAUGUAUUAUGUACAUGUAUAUUAUUUCAAAUGGGUCUCUACGAACAUGGUAGCAAGUAUUUUGUGCUAUCAGAAUAGAAUGUGCGUAUACAUCUCAUUGUUGACAACAAUGCACUAUAAUUAAGUUUCCCUUCUUUUAGCUUAUUUGUUGCUACCUGAGAUAGUACCAAGUAUGAUCUUUGGUUUGCCAUGUACGACACCGCGGAGUCAUUUUAUUAAGCUGGCAUUAGUAAUUUUGCAUUUUACAUAGUUCAUGUGCAAGUUAAACGUAUGUCCAAUAAUUACUAAUAUUAAGUUUAUAAUGUUGGCACAGUCUGUUAUUGCCGUUAUCUUCUUGGGAGUACUUGAGAAGGCGUGGCUGGGAAUGUGGGGACACGCCAUGGCAGAGGCGCAUGGUCGGCAGGAGGAGUCAGGGAGGCCUGAAGGUGGACAUGUGGAUGUUAUCGUGGCAUUGACACAUUUCGCUCCACUGAUGCUACAUACCAGGGAUGCGGUGGUGGUGCAGGAUUCGUUGGAAGCCACACAGCGCACCCGAGAAGGAGAGGAGGAGAAUGCUAUGAGGAGAGGAAAUGAUAAGUUUUAUUGUUUUGUUUUAAGAGCAAGGGAUUUGAUAUGUAGUCCCCUGGCUUAUUUGUAUUCUACUAUGUGUAUGGUCAAAGAAAUCAUGAUUUUAUACACACAUAUAUUUUUAAACAAAACCCUAUGUAUGUUUUUCUCAAACAGUGUCAUCGGAAAGCGCUCAUAUUUUCAAUGCGUACAUGAUUUUAAAUGGUUCUUUGUGAAGAUGGUAGCAAAUAUUUUGUGCUAUCAAAUUAAAAUGUGUGUAUAUACAUCUCAUUGUAGACAACAAUCAAUCAUGUUUCUUAUUAAAGGUUAUUGCACCAUGGAUAAUUUUUUCCUUGUGCAUAGGGAUUUAGAGUGCCUCUGCAUCAUUUGGCGCAACAAAUCCCCGUUUUCCCUAACUAAGAGAUUAAGUUUGUUGUCAUAUGUGCUUGCCCGUAACAAAAUCAACUAAACUAUGGAUUUAUUUUUGUUGCUAACUUGGAAUCAUCAGCAUGCUAACCAUAUUUUCGGUAUAGCAUUCUACUACAAAUAUCGAAUAGGUAUUCGCAAAAUGCAACUAUUUUCGUCGACAACAUGGCUUUAGCGGAUCUUUGCGCCAGUUGGCGCAAAAUCACACCGGUCGGCGGCUGACGAAACUUCUCUAUCACCCAGCUGAGGAACCGAGAAAGAAAGGAAGUCUUUGCUGGCUCUGCCCCCUGCCGCUUCCAUAUCCAGCUUCUCACGGGCCGCAGGCAUCGCUCAACGUGGGCUGGGCUAAAUAACAUAUGGAACAAUAUGCAUGGCCAGGUUUCUCAUCAUGAAUCAUGUUUUCAAACUUGCUAAAAAAAUACAACCAUGCCAACUUUACUCUCUCAUCAUGGUGGCCAUAUUUUCAAACUGAACAUAUUCAUAUUAUGCAAAGUUUCCCUUUUCCCAGACUAUUAUUU